rnacentral:rRNA from 1 species
GAUGAACGCUGGCGGCGUGCUUAACACAUGCAAGUCGAACGGAAAGGCCCAAGCUUGCUUGGGUACUCGAGUGGCGAACGGGUGAGUAACACGUGGGUGAUCUGCCCUGCACUUCGGGAUAAGCCUGGGAAACUGGGCCUAAUACCGGAUAGGACCACUUCUUGGAUGUUGUGGUGGAAAGUUUUUUCGGUGUGGGAUGAGCUCGCGGCCUAUCAGCUUGUUGGUGGGGUAAUGGCCUACCAAGGCGUCGACGGGUAGCCGGCCUGAGAGGGUGUACGGCCACAUUGGGACUGAGAUACGGCCCAGACUCCUACGGGAGGCAGCAGUUGGGAAUAUUGCACAAGGGGCGCAAGCCUGAUGCAGCGACGCCGCGUGGGGGAUGACGGCCUUCGGGUUGUAAACUCCUUUCGCUAGGGACGAAGCGUUUUGUGACGGUACCUGGAGAAGAAGCACCGGCUAACUACGUG